rnacentral:rRNA from 1 species
UACGAAGGGUGCAAGCGUUAAUCGGAAUUACUGGGCGUAAAGCGCGCGUAGGUGGUUCGUUAAGUUGGAUGUGAAAGCCCCGGGCUCAACCUGGGAACUGCAUCCAAAACUGGCGAGCUAGAGUACGGUAGAGGGUGGUGGAAUUUCCUGUGUAGCGGUGAAAUGCGUAGAUAUAGGAAGGAACACCAGUGGCGAAGGCGACCACCUGGACUGAUACUGACACUGAGGUGCGAAAAGCGUGGGGAGCAAAACAGG